rnacentral:rRNA from 1 species
AACGUAGGAGACAAACGUUAUCCGGAGUUACUGGGCGUAAAGGGCGUGUAGGCGGUUUGUUAAGUCUGGCGUGAAAGCUCUCGGCUAAACCGGGAGAGGUCGUUGGAUACUGGCAAACUAGAGGAUGGUAGAGGCGUGUGGAAUUCCGGGUGUAGUGGUGAAAUGCGCAGAUAUCGGGAGGAACACCAAUGGCGAAGGCAGCUUGCUGGGACGGUACUGACGCUGAGGCGCGAAAGCGUGGGGAGCAAACAGG